ACAAAGAUUAAAUAUUUUGUUUUUCAGUUUAAUUCAUGAAUGGCAUUGUGUCUCAGGGCUCUUUUGAUCACUGAAAACAAUCUCGGACACCUGUGAUAAUUAGAUUGCCAGGUGAGCCCAAUUUAAGGAAAAACUACUAAAGGAGGGUAUUCCACAUUAUUAAGCAGAGCACCAUUUUCAUGCAAUAUGGGGAAGAAUAAGGAUCUCUAUGCUGCCAAAAAGAGUGAAAUAGUUCAAGGCGUUGGACGAGGUAUGAAAACAUUAGAUAUUUCACGAAAACUUAAGCGUGAUCAUCGCACUAUUAAGAGAUUUGUGGCUGAUUCAGAGCACAGACGGGUUUGUGUAAUAAAGGCAUAUUGAGGAAGAUUUCUGCCAGAUCCAUGCAUCGGAUCAAGAGAGCAGCUGCUAAAAUAACAUUCCAUAACAGCAAACAGAUAUUUGAAGCUGCUGGUGCCUCUGGAGUACCAUGGACAUCAAGGUGUAGAGUCCUCCAGAGUCUUGCAACUGUGCAUUAACCUUCUAUUCAGCCACCACUAACCAAUGCUCACAAGCAGAAAUGGCUGCAUUGGGCAGAAAAAUACAUGAAGACUAAUUUUCAAACAGUCCUGUUCACUGAUGAGUACCGUGCAACCCUGGAUGGAGUAGUAGAUGGUUGGCGGACGGCCACCCUAUUCCAACAAGGCUGCGACAUUAGCAAGGUGGUGGAGGAGUCAUGUUUUGGGACGGAAUCAUGGGAAGAGAGCUGGUCUGUUCCUUAAGGGUCUCCAAAAGGUGUAAAUAUGACCUCUGCAAAGUAUGUGGAGUUUCUGACUGACCACUUUCUUCCUUGGUACAGAAGAAAGAACUAUGCUUUCCGUAAUAAAAUCAUCUUUAUGCAUGACAAUGCACCAUCUCAUGCUGCAAAGAAUACCUCUGCAUCAAUGGCUGCUAUGGGGAUAAAAUGAGAGAACGUCAUGGUGUGGCCUCCAUCCUCCACUGAACUCAAUCCUAUUGAGAACCUUUGGAGCAUCCUCAAACAAAAGAUCUAUGAGGGUGGGAGGCAGUUUACAUCCAAACAGCAGCUAUGGAAGGCUUUUCUGACAUCUCGCAAACAAAUUUAAGCAAAAACUGUCCAAAAACUCACAAGUUCAAUGGAUGCAAAACUUGUGAUGCUGCAAUCAAAUAAAGGGCCCUAUGUUAAAAUGUAACGUGACCUGUUAAAAUGUUUAAAAGGUUAAAAUGUUGUUAUAAGUUUGAAUGAAAUAGCUUUUGAUUUCAGUAAAUAUGCUGCAAACACAACAAAUGACAAUUUUCAGUUCUUUACAACCUAUGAAGUGUUUUGAAACUUACUGUGCAUAAUAAUUUGGAACAGUGCAUUGUAAGUUUAUGUUUAAAAAAAUACUGUAAUCGUUAGGUUUGUUCAAUA